UCGGAACGUGUCCCGUAGUGGGGGAUAGCCCGGCGAAAGCCGGGCUAAUACCGCAUAUGCUCUACGGAGGAAAGCGGGGACCCGGCAGGCAACUGAGGGGCCUCGUGCUAUGGGAGCGGCCGAUGUCCGAUUAGCUAGUUGGUGGGGUAAAGGCUUACCAAGGCUUCGAUCGGUAGCUGGUCUGAGAGGAUGAUCAGCCACACUGGGACUGAGACACGGCCCAG
rnacentral:rRNA from 1 species